UACGUAGGGGGCAAGCGUUGUCCGGAAUUAUUGGGCGUAAAGAGCUCGUAGGCGGACUGUCACGUCUGCUGUGAAAAGCUGGGGCUUAACCCUGGCCUUGCAGUGGAUACGGGCAGACUAGAGGUAGGUAGGGGAGAAUGGAAUUCCCGGUGUAGCGGUGAAAUGCGCAGAUAUCGGGAGGAACACCGGUGGCGAAGGCGGUUCUCUGGGCCUUACCUGACGCUGAGGAGCGAAAGCGUGGGGAGCGAACAGG
rnacentral:rRNA from 1 species